GAUGAACGCUGGCGGCGUGCUUAACACAUGCAAGUCGAACGAUGAAGCCCAGCUUGCUGGGUGGAUUAGUGGCGAACGGGUGAGUAACACGUGAGUAACCUGCCCUUGACUCUGGGAUAAGCCCGGGAAACUGGGUCUAAUACCGGAUAGGAGCGCCUGUCGCAUGACGGGUGUUGGAAAGAUUUUUCGGUCAUGGAUGGACUCGCGGCCUAUCAGCUUGUUGGUGAGGUAAUGGCUCACCAAGGCGACGACGGGUAGCCGGCCUGAGAGGGUGACCGGCCACACUGGGACUGAGACACGGCCCAGACUCCUACGGGAGGCAGCAGUGGGGAAUAUUGCACAAUGGGCGGAAGCCUGAUGCAGCGACGCCGCGUGAGGGAUGACGGCCUUCGGGUUGUAAACCUCUUUCAGUAGGGAAGAAAGCGAAAAGUGACGGUACCUG
rnacentral:rRNA from 1 species